rnacentral:tRNA from 1 species
GCCUGGGUGGCUCCAUCGGUUAAGCAUCUGACUUCAGCUCAGGUCAUGAUCUCGCAGUUCGUGGGUUCGAGCCCCACGUCGGGCU